GUACACUCCUGCGGGAGGCAGCAGUGGGGAAUUUUGGACAAUGGGCGAAAGCCUGAUCCAGCAAUGCCGCGUGAGUGAAGAAGGCCUUCGGGUUGUAAAGCUCUUUUGUCAGGGAAGAAACGGUGAAAGCUAAUAUCUUUUGCUAAUGACGGUACCUGAAGAAUAAGCACCGGCUAACUACGUGCCAGCAGCCGCGGUAAUACGUAGGGUGCAAGCGUUAAUCGGAAUUACUGGGCGUAAAGCGUGCGCAGGCGGUUUUGUAAGUCUGAUGUGAAAUCCCCGGGCGCAGCCUGGGAAUUGCAUUGGAGACUGCAAGGCUAGAAUCUGGCAGAGGGGGGUAGAAUUCCACGUGUAGCAGUGAAAUGCGUAGAUAUGUGGAGGAACACCGAUGGCGAAGGCAGCCCCCUGGGUCAAGAUUGACGCUCAUGCACGAAAGCGUGGGGAGCAAACAGGAUUAGAAACCCUAGUAGUCCCAUGA
rnacentral:rRNA from 1 species